AGGAGCCCCAGGUGUUCCCAUCCUGUGAUCAGCACAGAACACAGAAACCUCACCAUGGAGUUUGUGCUUGGCUGGGUUUGCCUGGUUGCUCAUUUAAAAGGUGUCCAGUGUGGUGUGCAGCUAGCUGGUGGAGUCUAGAGGAGACCUGGUGAAGCCUGGGGGGUUCUUGAGACUCACCUGUGUAGCCUCUG